UAAGCGGAGGAAAAGAAACCAACAGGGAUUGCCUCAGUAGCGGCGAGUGAAGCGGCAAAAGCUCAAAUUUGAAAUCUGGCGUCUUUGGCGUCCGAGUUGUAAUUUGAAGAAGGUAUCUUUGGGCCCGGCUCUUGUCUAUGUUCCUUGGAACAGGACGUCACAGAGGGUGAGAAUCCCGUGCGAUGAGAUGACCCGGGUCUGUGUAAAGUUCCUUCGACGAGUCGAGUUGUUUGGGAAUGCAGCUCUAAGUGGGUGGUAAAUUCCAUCUAAAGCUAAAUAUUGGCGAGAGACCGAUAGCGAACAAGUACAGUGAUGGAAAGAUGAAAAGAACUUUGAAAAGAGAGUGAAAAAGUACGUGAAAUUGUUGAAAGGGAAGGGCUUGAGAUCAGACUUGGUAUUUUGCAUGUUGCUCUCUCGGGGGCGGCCGCUGCGGUUUACCGGGCCAGCAUCGGUUUGGAGCGGCAGGAUAAUGGCGGAGGAAUGUGGCACGGCUUCUGCUGUGUGUUAUAGCCUCUGACGAUACUGCCAGCCUAGACCGAGGACUGC
rnacentral:rRNA from 1 species